UACGUAGGGGGCAAGCGUUGUCCGGAUUUAUUGGGCGUAAAGAGCGUGUAGGCGGCCAGGGAGGUCCGUUGUGAAAACUCGAGGCUCAACCUCGAGACGCCGAUGGAAACCCCCUGGCUAGAGUCCGGAAGAGGAGGAUGGAAUUCCUGGUGUAGCGGUGAAAUGCGCAGAUAUCAGGAAGAACACCCGUGGCUAAGGCGGUUCUCUAGUACGGUACUGACGCUGAGACGCGAAAAGCGUGGGGGAGCGAACAGG
rnacentral:rRNA from 1 species